rnacentral:rRNA from 1 species
AAUAAACGUUGGCGGCGUGCCUAACACAUGCAAGUCGAGCGAGAAAGGUUCCUUCGGGAGCGAGUACAGCGGCGGACGGGUGAGUAACACGUGGGAAUUUACCUUUUAGUGAAGAAUACUCUCGAGAAAUCGAGGUUAAUGCUGCAUACGUCCCUUCGGGGANAAAGAUGGCCUCUUUGCUGUCGCUAAAAGAUGAGCCUGCGGACUAUUAGCUAGUUGGUAGGGUAAAGGCCUACCAAGGCAUGAUGGAUAGCCGGCCUGAGAGGGUGUUCGGCCACAUU